rnacentral:rRNA from 1 species
UACAGAGGUGGCAAGCGUUGUUCGGAAUCACUGGGCAUAAAGGGCGCGUAGGCGGCGAUGAAAGUCAGGUGUGAAAGCCCUCAGCUUAACUGAGGAAUUGCGCCUGAAACUACAUUGCUUGAGUGUAGGAGGGGAGAGUGGAACUCCUAGUGGAGCGGUGAAAUGCGUAGAGAUUAGGAGGAACGCCGGUGGCGAAAGCGACUCUCUGGCCUAUUACUGACGCUGAGGCGCGAAAGCUAGGGGAGCAAACGGG